GCUAAACCAACACACUAGCCAAGCGCUCGACUGACGAAUUGACUAUACUGACUAGGCGACUAAGUAUACGAUGACUGACGGUGACGGUGCGCUGCUAUGAACUUAACACAAGCCAGCUAACUGGCAGGUUGUCUGCACGAAAGUUUGAUUGAAAAGUUACACAUACACACGGGCAGACCUGCAAACGCUCGCAUAUUUAAAAAAAAAAAAAAAGCCAAAAGAAAAUGUAACGCGAAUUUAUGUUUUUUCAUGCCUGGCACAAAGUGCAAUGUUAAGUGAGUAACAACAAAAAAUUUCUGAAAUAACGGAAAACUGCAAAUUGAAAUUGAUACAAAAUGUGAUAAAAGUGUGCAUAGACGAGAAAGCAAAAGGCAAAAAACUGGCUGCAAAAAAAAGAGAAAUAUUUCGCUAAAUGUGAGUUUAUUUUUUAGUGCAAAAAAAAUUUUGAAAAUGUUACGAAACAAUAAAAAUGAGAAAAAUUAAUUUAAAUAUAAUUAAAAUUAAUGAGAAAAAAUUUGUAUACAAAUAAAAAGCUCAUAAAUGAGGAAAUAAAAAUUAAAAGCUAUACAUGCUUAUAAAAAUAAUACCCGUAAAGAUAUAAAAUAUAAUAUAAAUAUAAAUAAAAAUUAAAAAAAGUAAUUAAAACUCUGCUUAAUAAUAUCAUGAGAUUUUCGAAAAAAUAAAAAAAUGUUUUGGCAAUAAAAUUCACAUAAUUUUCGAAUCUAACUUCUACUAUCUGCCAAAGUGGCAAUUCGCACUCACACACACACACAACAUAUAUACACACCGUUUGGUAGAGAAUUUCUUAGAUAUUUUACUCGUUGCAACCAACUCCAAUCGCAUCGGAAGCAGUGAAAGAAUUUUUUCGUUGACCUACGACAAAGGAAAUGAAGUCAGUUGCAAGCCAAACACCAAUACACGCACACACACACAUACUGUCGCACUUUGAAAUACACAUGGAAGGCAUACCAAUACACUGGCAGCCAAGUAUAUGCUAACGCAUACACACACAUGUACUUAUUUGCGAACACAUAUCCAAACACAUAAACACAUAUGCGAUUUUGUGUCGAUAUUAUGAAAUAUACAUAGGCAACCGCCAUAGAUGCGCACCAACACAGCGAGCAAAGGGUUGUGUACCAACAAAUACUCAAAAGCACAUAACACGAACACGCACACACACACAAGCGCGCUAGCGCGCUAGCGUAAGCGUAAAUGUUGCACUUGCUGUUUGGACAACAACAAGCGGCAGCCACAUAAUGACAAAAACAAAAACAGUAACAACAAAAAACAAUAACAACAUGAAAAUAGGCUCACAACAGCAUUGCAGCCGUAUAUAACACAUAGCUAUGCAACAACAACAACAACAACGAAAAAUUGCCGUAUACACACCGCAGCGAGUGGCUGUCAACGCGCAUGAACACUGUGGCCAAAAGUGAAGGCCCGUUGGCGGUGUCGAUGAUUAUGUGCAUAUGCAUAUGCAUAUGUAUAUGCUUUUGCAUUUUUUGUUGUUGUUUGGAGUGAAGUGUUUGUUUGUUGAUAUUGUUGCAUUUGCAUUAUCGUAAACUUUUGUUCUUUGUUAGCUUAAAAGUUCAUAUAAUUGAUUUGAGAAAUUAAAUUAAAAAUUUAUCAAAAAAUUCUUUAAAAUAUGAGAAAAAUUAGAGAAAAAAUUAUGAACAAAAAAAAACUGAAAAUAAAUUAUAAAUUAAAUAAGAUUUCUAAAAUGAAAUAGUAAAGCACUAAGUAACUGAAAAAUGUAAAGGAAGGCCAAGAAAUGUGCCGAUAAAUCCAAUGAAAACAAGAAAAAUCAGCUGUAAUACCUUUCAUAGGUGCUUUUCGUAUAGCAUUAAAGGGAUAUAAAACCAACUUUUUUUGAAUUUUAAUCAGUCAGUUUGUAUAGCAGCUAUAAGGUAUAGUAGUCCGUCCGAAAAAAAUAUUCGGUCAUUACAGUGCUACCUCGCAUAAUAAUCCAUGCAAAAUUUCGCGAAUAUAUCUCGUUAAAUGAAAAAGCUGUUCAUACAAGAAAUAGAUACUGAUCCAUAAGUUUGUAUGACAGCUAUAAGCUAUAGUGACCCGAUCUGAGAAAUUUGUUCGAAGAUUGUACCGAUGACUUGAACAAUAAUCCAUGCCAAUUCCCGAAAAGAUAACUUGCCAAAUAAAUUAUUUUUCUUACAAGAACUUGCUUUUGAUCGGACAGUUUGUAUGGUAGCUAUAUACAUAUGUAUGUACAUAUAUACAAAUGACCAACAUCCUGAGUAGAAAAUUUUUCUCCUGCUCAGUUAACAACAGCAAAGGCUGUAUUCGUCUUCUUAUCGGUAUAGUUUUUUUACGUAGCGGUUCCCAAACCCAGCGUACAACCCUUGGGAGGGAUGGAUCGCCUUCUCAUUUUAGCUCGCUUUCAAAUGGAAUGAAAACUUGGUCCAAGACUGGAAGUCGUGAACUGCUUGAUCCUUAUGUAAAAAAAUCCUUUCUGGCCACUCCUAAGUAAAUGGCGAUCAGAGAACUUUCCUUGCUUGUGUGAACUUUACACAUGGCUCAUCUCUUGACAAACCGUCAGUUACUACCAAUAAAAUUUCUGUAAAAAGCUUGGUAUAUUUUCAAAGAAAAAGUGAUAUACUUAAUUUCUAUAAUCUACAAUUCUACAAGAAAUUUUAAUAUGUUUAUAAGUCUUGAGUACAUACGAUACACAUUUUCUACCAGUUAGAAUAAUCACCAUCCUUUUUUGAUAGACUUCAUAGUACUAAACAAUAUUUGUAUCAUUUUUGGUGCAUAUGCAGAAAAAGCAAUAACAAGAGUUCUUUACGUAGUUUUCUCAAUUUAUUGACUUUUUAAUUAAUGCUUUGUCUAAUAACAACCUAACAACCAAAAAUCCAUUUUUGUCGUUUUCUUCCGAUAUUUUUUUUAUUUAAAAGCUCGCUUGAAAAUAUUGCACACAAAAGAUAUUUCGUAUAAAAAAAAUAUUGCAUAUAAUUUACUUCAGCAAAAACAUCUUUUUUCAUCACAUUUCCAUAAUUUUUGGUGCUCACGUUUAUGAAGUGCCCAAAAACAUUGUUUUUGUCUACCUAUACUUGUCACAGCCAUACAUUAAACUGCAUUUUCUAGCGUUUACUACCAUUGCAAAUGGACUUAUAUAUGCAAACAUACAUGCUCUCAUGCGAUUCUUUAUGGUCCAUAAUAUUUAGAGUCACAAUUUUUAAUGGCGCAAAGAAAGACAGGAAGUUAUAAAUACAAAUUCGUCAUAGAACUUAUGCUAAGCUCUUAAAAUACAUGUAUGCAGCGCUCAGAAAACCGUGGGAAAUUGAAAAGAGCCAUCUUUUCUCACUGCCUUGAUGUCAUAAAGUUGGAACAAAAUGAGUAAAAUAUUUUGCCAUAGAAUAAAGGAAGUAAUUCAAGUAGAAGUUAUAAAAGACAAAAAAUGGCAAAACACCAAAAAGCUUUGACAAACUCAUAAUAAUCAAAUCACAUUAAACGAAAAGUUAAUGAAUAGGAAGAUAGUUUGCCAUUGCGGCUACCUAAUAUUUUAAUUUUUAUUUUUCGGUUAAUGCUUUUAUUGGUCAGUAAAUAAUACGUACGUAUAUAUGUUGUAUAAGGAACUAUAUCAUUCAAAUAAAAUAUUAUGUUACGAUUGAUUCUAUAGUCCAUCGCUACACUUACAUAUGUAUAGUGUAUAUAUAUUCUAUAGUCCUUUGGAAGACUACAAAACUCAAAUAGUUGGUUUCCAUUAAUCCGUAAAGCACCUUGAACUCAUUUCAAAUCCACUUAGAUGUUUUAUUUUAAUUCCCGCUUAUUCAUCUCGAGGUUUAAAGUUGUGAGUUCCAAUAUAUUUUACAAGUAGACGUGAUCUCCACUGCGACUCUAACCUAUCUGGCGAUUAACGCCAUUGUGGCAAUUCUGAUAGAAACUCUUAUGACUAAUCUUUAACAAUGACCAUUCUGCAUGUUUGGCUUUAAUAAUACAAAAAAUGCUUCCAUGGUGAGUUUGUAAAACAUGGUGAAUUUCUAAUAACGAAAACCGGAAAUGUAUUUAUUUGCAAAAUCAUUCUACAUUUUUGUCUUCCAUAAAAAAAAGCUUCCAUGGUGAGUUUGUAAAAAGUGGUGAAUUUUAAAUUACGAAUUUCGUAAAUGUAUUUAUUUGCCAAGUCAUUCUAUAUCUUUGUCUUUAACAAAAAAAAUGCUUCCAUGGUGAGUUUCUAAUUACGAAAACCGGAAAUGUAUUUAUUUACAAAGUUAUUAUAUAUCCUUGUCUUUAAUAAUAAAAUAUGCUUCCAUAGUGAGUUUGUAAAACGUGGUGAAUUUUAAAUUACAAAUUUCGGAAAUGUAUUGAUUUGCAAAGCUUUUAAUACUAUUGACAUUAUACCCAUACUUUCUAUAGCCUUCCUUAUCUGAAACACCUACUGGUAUAAUUAAUCUCCUACUAUGCUAAUUCUGCUUUUUCGGCUUCGUUAAUAAAAAAAAAGUAUUUUCAUGUUGAGUUUUCAAUGUGUGGUGAGUUUGCCAUAUAUGGUGAAUUUGCAAUAUGUGGUGAGUUUUUACCACGAUAAUUCUGAAAUGAUGAUGAAUGAUGAGUAAUUUUGACAGCCUUAUGGAAAGCAAAGGGCGAGUUUGUCAUAUAGAAAUCCUGAAAUAAGAGGAUUUAGAAACUCCUGUGGAAUAUAAUUUUUAAUGACCUCGGUGAUAUAAUAUCUAUAAAUAUAAUUUCUCUCACUGUAUUAAGAAAUACUAGAAAAAUUGUGUUUCAUUCUUCACAGAACUAAAAAUUGUUUCUGAUGACUAAACUAAUAUUUUUUUGUAUUUGUUUUCUGUUGAAAGGGGAAUCAUUCCUAAGCUCUCAUUCUUUCAUGACAACUUAGCUUCCAUCUUUUUCGGAUUUUUUCUUGUACUAAAUUGUACAAAAAAUACCACAAUAAUUAUUAUUAACUAAAUAAUAUUAAAAAAUGUGCCUAAAAACUUUAAAAUAACUUAUAAACCGAAAUUAAGCUCACAAAAGUAAAAGAAAACUCAACCUAACCUCAUAUAUAAAAGACAUUAAAUAAUAUAAAAUAUUAUAUAAUAAAUAAAAAAAUAUGAUUUGAAAUUUCUUAAAAUUCAAAACAAUUGCAAAGUGCAGAUGGAACGUGAAAAACUGUUCAACCAAACUAAAAACUACUACGCAAUUACGAUAAAACAAUUAAAGCUUAUGUACAUCAAAUAUUUGAUUCGAUUCAAUAGUAGAGAAAGAAAAGAGUUAUAUAUACCCAUAUAAUGGUGCAUAUAUGAAAGUGCAACAAAAAACUGACCCUGCCAACAAAAAUUGCAACAAAAACUAUGCACAUGCGCAGCACCAACGUAGCUGGGUGAAGGCAAAACAAAAUGCUGUUUUCCGAAUGUAUUUGGUGAAAAUUAACAUGCAGGCCCCAACCACCCUUAAACCGUGAAGAAAACAAGAAAAAAACAACACAAAAAGCAUAAACACACAACGAACAAAGAACUAACGAGUAGUCGAGCAACGAACUGUGCGGCAAAACUAUAACAAGAAGAAGCACCAGCGAAAACUACACUAAAAUAGUGGCUGAGGACGCCAUGAACCACAUACAUACAUACACUUGUACUACACGUAUGGCAAGGACUUUUCUACAACUACGAAGUCAAUGCAAUGCAGCGCUCUACACUAUUUGCCUUCGUCACUACUAUUUACCGUUAAGUUAACGCUGGUGUACCAAAAAUGGACGCUCGUUUCGUUAACUCGCUGCACUAUUCGUUGUUAGUUUGAAAAAUUUUGUGACUUCGUAAAUACGGUGCAGCAUUCGUGCAACUACUGUCAGGACUCGUACAUUGGCCGAGGACAAGGCCUCGGCGAAUGCAACUACUGUGUACACUUUUGCCGUGUGCGAAAAAGGAUGGCCUCAAAGGAUAAUAGUUCAAGUGCAAAGAGGAUGCCGUCAACGAACGGAAAUAUAUUUAUGUGCAUACCGAAGCAUAUAUACCUAUAUACAUAUGUAUAAAUAUAUAUAAAUUUAUAUAUAGUUAGAGUUGAAUAUAUGUAGGCUUUGGAUAUACAUAUGCAUUGACUUGCAUAUGUAUGCAGUUUAGUUUGUGUGUUGUUGCACUCACAUUUGUGCAGCGAUUGAGUAAGCCUGAGUCUCCACCAAUGCAGCCACCACAUUUAUAUGCCUGUACUGUUGUAUUUGUAUGCAUGCUGUGGGGGUGCAAGCGCCGUCGAAAUUCUACUGAAAAUAUGCUCGAAUAUAUGUUGGAACGGAACGAAACACUAAUUAAAUAAUAUCAGCAUAACAAUGCACAAAACAAUAAGGACAUGUUGAGCAAACCAAAAACCGGAGAGCCUUAAUGAGGUUUUUAAAUUAGGACAGGUUUCAUAGAUUUGGUUCAACAGAAUGUCUCAGAUUUGCAUAAGUUAAGAAGGAAGAAUGGAACCCGAAUAAUUCAAAGCUUCGAGGUCUGCUUAAAGCUUUAACUGCUACUAGGCAAUAAAAAUUGUUAUAAAUGACGGCAGUGGAACGUAUUCUCAGUAUUCAAAAACGUUGUACAGGAAUAUUUUUGAAGCCGAGUUCAUCUUUCUACUACGUAAAUCCGUUCAACUGUAUAAAAAAAAGUCUGCUAAUGGUGUCUUCUCCAAUUUCUGGUUCAUUGUUCGACAAGUGAAAGGCUAAGUAAGACCCAAUAGCCCUUAGUACAGCUGAAAAAUUUUACGCUGACGUUUAUCAUGAAAGCAUUACUCUUAAGGUAUGACUUUCCUUAUGUUGUGAGAACAUUCGAGAAGGCAAGAAUUAUUCAAUGAAAUUAGUUUUCUUUUUCAAAUAUUUUCUUCAUCGUAAUGAGAAUUUGGUUCUUUAAAUACUAUACUACGUUGAUCGCUUAUGGCGGUCUUGUCAAUUAGAAGAAAAUUUCAAGUGGUGAUUGCUCUUUUGAGGUUAUGUUAUACGAGUAUAGUAAGCGACAAAUUACCCUCAGAAAUUCGUAUAUGAUCUGGUUAUUAGAUCAAUCUAGGUAUAUGAUGAGUCGUACUGUGACACAUUAUUGUCAAUAUAGAAUAUUUGGAUUUCACAGCGAAAACGAACACUUUUGGUGACACUUCCUCAAUUGGAUUUCCACAAAAAAUUAACAAAUUCCUUUCUCUAAAAUCGAAGCUCUGUCAGGAACAGACAUAUAUCUUAGCAGCAUAUGGUAGAGUGUUUGGCUAUAAGAUAAUAUUGUAUUUGGGAACAAAAACAAGAAACCUACAAAAACUUACAACCAAAUGGAUGACUAAGAGUACAACUUGAAACAGAAUGGUGCAUACUCGCUAUGGACCAUUAACAGAAACCCGUAAAUCCGAACUUGUGCUGUUGUUUGUGUUGCAAGACCGGCAUUAUGGGAGUCUGUCAAUGUAAACAACGUGUUGAAGGAACCAAAAAAAAACCAAAGGACAAAUGGCUCCGUUAAAAAUGCCUAGCAUUUUCGGACCUACAGUUAGUGGGUUAUGGGCGGGUUGGUUCCAGUAGUUUAACAUUUCUCUGGCAAAUUGAGGUAGUAGGUUGUAUAGUAGUAUUAACGGCAUGCUAUACAACGUGCUAGCUUUCUUUGCUUGACACCAAGCAGCGGUUUUGAGUGUGCAAAGAGCUGAAAACGUGAAAAAAUAGAAAUAAAUAAAGCAAACUCUCUACAAACCAUAAUUGUAGUUGAAAAGUGCUUGAAAAUCAUUCAAUAAAAUUUUGAAAUUUUUUUGCGUUUUGUAAUGAGCAGCAAAUAGUUUGUAUGUAAUGCUCGCAUAGUGUUGUUGUUUAAUUAUAAUACAUACAUACGUAUGCUAUAUAUAAUAAUUAAGUUGUUUUUGUUUUGCGUUAAGAUGUGUUUGUAUGGCUGAUUCCCUGAGACCCUAACUUGUGACUUUUAACAUCAGUUUCACAAGUUUUGAUCUCCGGUAUUGGCCGCAAACUUGCUGUUUUUGUGUGAAACUCGUAAUACCAUAACAACAUUACCGUUCAUAACAUUUGCGUACAUACAUCCUUCAUGUCAUCUAACCAAUGCAUUUACAUAACUAGUUAUAUAUGUAAGAGUAUGCUUGUAAUUGUUCAUUUGUUUAUUUAAGGUUGAGCGAGAUACGAAUAAUAGCGUACAUUAAAAUAAUUAUUGAAUUUUUAGAACUUGUAUUUUAGAGACUGUAGCAUAGGUAAAGACACUAUAAGAAAAUCAUGAAAUACGAAGAAAAUGCUAAGAAGUUGUUUCAUAUUUCAGUGGCUUAAAGCAAUUGAUUUUUAGUUGAAUUUACUGCCUGAAAACUAAGAUUUUGAAAUAUUCUGUAAAAAAUAUUAAAGACUAAUAAAUAUUGACAAACAAAGCCCACAUAAUGAUUUACAACUCGACUAAGUUGAGUUGAAAUUGAAACAACUGAACUCCUUUUUGACAUUUCGACAACUAAUUUCAAUUGUAGUGGUUAUUAAUAUAAUGUGAUAUGACGAUGACAAUUCAACAUACGAUUUUUGUACGGUUGAGUUUUCUUUGGUGUAUAAAGUUAAGUUGUAAAUCGUAAUUAGGAGUAAAAAUAAUAGAAAUGACAGCAUUAUGGAUGAUCUCUGAGGGUAUUGAAGGCUGACAGCUAGAAUGGCAACUGGGACUUCAUUUGCGAAGGUCUUCAAAAAUAUAAAAUUAAAUUCUGAAAAGAAUUGUUUAAUAAUCUUUCGUUCUCUAUUAAAAAGUUAUGAAGAGCUAAACGAAAAUGAAGAUGAAAGUCUGAAAGAUUUGCUUAUGUUAUAACUCAUUGUAAUUCUGUAAGCAGUUUUUAUAAAAUCACCGCAAUGAAAGGUACAAACAAUCAACGGCACUAAGUUGUGUCGCUCAAAAGUCAAUCUACCAUAUUAAAAGCUAUAAAGAUUUUUCCAGCUCCAAUGGUCAAUAUACAUAUUAACGAAUUGUUACAGCAGUUUGGAGAAAGUAAGAUAAAGGCCUUGCGAUUGAAAUAACUUAGUCAAAUAUAAUAAAUAUAUAUUUAACGAGAUAAUCGAGUUCAGUAGGUAACUGAUAUGACUAUGGUAACUUAUACACUUUGUAAGCCACCAUAAUCAGGUAUAAUAGUUAUCUAAGUUAUAAGAAAUAUGCCCACAUUACCUGCUACACGAAGCGAGCUCCAAAAUUAUUUGUAAAUAAGUCACAGGUUAGUAACAUGGUUGACAACCGUCAAACAAAGUAUAUGUGAGUAUGCAUAUAAAAUCGAAAAAGUUGUAAUAAUAGAAUUAAUUUCAUUUCUAAAGAACUACUGUUCAUACGAUUGUAGAAUUCAUUUAAUUUUUUAAACAACACAUACGUAAUUUUAAUGCUAAGUAUCGACAAAGGCAGCUGAAACGGAAAAUACAAAAACUUAGCCUAUCCGAAGGCGCACUGACAUACAGUGGCUGUAUUAAAUAUAAAAUUCAUCACCCCAAAAUUGGUUUUAAACAUAGUAAUCAGCUAUUGUUUGUCAGCUUCUGGGUCUAAGUAGCUGAAUUUUAUCUCAUUCUUCUUCUUUAUUACCUUAGACACCGGUUAUUAUCAACUGGUAUAUUCCAGUCCAAUAUGAAAAUUUGUAAAAAUAAGUUUUUCAAAUAUCAAUAAUUUUUUAUCUUUAAAUCUUAUUUAAAUUUUAUUUUUGUACGAAUUUUCAAGUAUUUCCUCAGUUUAUAUGAACUCAGUUUCUCUGGGAACAAAGGACAUGAGAUGGAUGAUCAUCUAGCUAAGGAAGUGGCGCCAACCAGGCCUACAGGACCGGAACCUUUUUCGCAUGGGUAUUGUAUAAAAGCGCUCCAGCAGGAAGAAAAGAAAAAUAAGGGUGAUUACUGGCUGCAAAUGUCAGCAAUCGAAGCUUUAUUUGGGACGAGAGAAUCACCAAAGAUGCAAACAGAUAAUAAUGUUUCCCAGAGACAGAGUAAAAUAAAUUGAAGCAUUGGUAACUGCAAAAUAAAGUCUCCUGACGUGAACACAGUAAAAACAUCUCCUUUUUUGCUUGUCCUGCAACCGUAAGAAGAAUGAGUUGAGCUGUCCGCUAAGUGAGCAUAUCACUACCAUGACCACAGAAUCGUUGUUAAACUUCCUUAUGAAACAAAAAUUGCGUAAGAGAGGAAAGCUGUUCGUCAUAAUGCAUACUUCAUGCUCAGUCUAACUCUUACUUACGUCUAAAAUGGUGAUUGGUUACUCAGUUGCUUCUUUCCUUCUCCCAAACUCAGUUAAAAUUUUCCAAGCCGAAGUACCAAACAUAGAGAAGGUCAGUAAAGUACUAUUGAGCAACUACGGGGAAACACAGAAGGCGAUCGUUUACACA